rnacentral:rRNA from 1 species
CACGUAGGGUGCAAGCGUUGUCCGGAAUCACUGGGCGUAAAGAGCUCGUAGGCGGCUUAGUAAGUCGGGUGUGAAAACCCCAGGCUCAACCUGGGGACGCCACCCGAUACUGCUAUAGCUAGAGUCCAGUAGGGGAGUGUGGAAUUCCCAGUGUAGCGGUGAAAUGCGCAGAUAUUGGGAGGAACACCAGCGGCGAAGGCGGCUCACUGGCCCGGUACUGACGCUGAGGUGCGAAGGCGUGGGGAGCGAACGGG